CAAUGCUUGUGUACAAUGACUGCUAGUGGACAGCAGCUGCACUUUUGACAGAACCAGAAUUUCUUUAUUAUUGCUAGUGCAGAGAGCAACACUGAACAGCGCCCGUUCAUUUGGACAGAGUGGCUGUGAAGCUGCACAUAGAGAGACUGAAGUGAAAGGAUGCAAAGAUGGAUGGGUCAACUUCAACUGCAGCUAUCCAGAUCCACAUGAAACGUAUCAUAGUGUCGCCCUCCGAAGGGACUCUGUUCAAAAAGUCAUAGGAAAUGAUCACAAAAAUAAAUGGGUUACUGAUGGCAAAUUUUCCCUGUACCAUGAUACGAUAAACAAAAAUCUCAGAGUGAUUAUCAGACCACUGAAGGAGCAAGACUUCACCAAGUACAGGUGUGGAUUUUCUACAGGACCAAAACAUGAGAAGAAACUGGGAGAGGCUGCCAAGGACAGAGUCCGUUUUGGACGUAACAAGAGACAGACUGAGGAUGAUGAUAAGAAGAAGGAGAGGGAAGAAGAGGAGCAGGAGGGACAGCAGGAGGAAGAAGA